GGAUCCUAAAUGCGAUGGAGUUUCCUAUGAGGCUGAUACCUAACCCCUAGAAACAGGAACAAGACUACUAAACAAUGCACAGAAACUCAAAUAGGUAACAGACUCACCAAAUCAAGAAGCACUUGAGUAAUUAAAUAUAAGCAAGAGCACCAGUAAUAAAGAAAAAUAAAACACCAGGGGUUUUUCUUCCAAAACACCAUACUCACCUCAAUCUUAAGUGGAUGUGAAAAAAAAUCUCUGAAGGUGAAAAGAUGCUGAAAUAAUCUAUUAUACCACUCGGAGCCAAAUUA